UACGAAGGGGGCUAGCGUUGCUCGGAAUUACUGGGCGUAAAGCGCACGUAGGCGGCUUUCUAAGUCGGAGGUGAAAUCCUGGAGCUCAACUCCAGAACUGCCUUCGAUACUGGAGAGCUUGAGUCCGGGAGAGGUGAGUGGAACUGCGAGUGUAGAGGUGAAAUGCGCAGAUAUCAGGAAGAACACCCGUGGCUAAGGCGGCUCUCUAGUACGGUACUGACGCUGAGACGCGAAAGCGUGGGGAGCGAACAGG
rnacentral:rRNA from 1 species